rnacentral:rRNA from 1 species
AUUGAACGCUGGCGGCAUGCCUUACACAUGCAAGUCGAACGGCAGCACGGGAGCUUGCUCCUGGUGGCGAGUGGCGAACGGGUGAGUAAUACAUCGGAACGUACCCAGGAGUGGGGGAUAACGUAGCGAAAGUUACGCUAAUACCGCAUAUUCUGUGAGCAGGAAAGCGGGGGAUCGCAAGACCUCGCGCUCUUGGAGCGGCCGAUGUCGGAUUAGCUAGUUGGUGAGGUAAAAGCUCACCAAGGCGAUGAUCCGUAGCAGGUCUGAGAGGAUGAUCUGCCACACCGGGACUGAGACACGGCCCAGACUCCUACGGGAGGCAGCAGUGGGGAAUUUUGGACAAUGGGGGCAACCCUGAUCCAGCCAUGCCGCGUGAGUGAAGAAGGCCUUCGGGUUGUAAAGCUCUUUCGGCGGGGAAGAAAUGGCAACGGCUAAUAUCCGUUGUUGAUGACGGUACCCGCAUAAGAAGCACCGGCUAACUACGUGCCAGCCGCCGCAGUAA